rnacentral:rRNA from 1 species
UACGUAGGUGGCAAGCGUUGUCCGGAAUCAUUGGGCGUAAAGCGCGCGUAGGCGGCCCGAUAAGUCUGCUGUGAAAGUCAACGGCUCAACCGUUGAAAGCCGGUGGAUACUGUCGGGCUAGAGUUCGGAAGAGGCAAGUGGAAUUCCUGGUGUAGCGGUGGAAUGCGCAGAUAUCAGGAGGAACACCCAUAGCGAAGGCAGCUUGCUGGGACGAUACUGACGCUAAGGCUCGAAAGCGUGGGAAGCGAACAGG